AUUUCACCAUCUUUCCUUUGUUUCAGUAAAAGUUAUCACAGCAAGACUACAGUUUCUGCACUGUGCCCUUACCAGAAGCUUGCAAGACACUGUCCAAGGAUUUACUGUCCUCGGAACUGCCUGCAAGAAAAUCCCCACCUUUCUCAAGUCAUUGGCACCAAAAUGUAUUCAGAUAAAUCUAGUAUAUGCAGAUCUGCAAUUCAUGCCGGCGUUUUAAGAAACAAAUCAGGUGGUUAUGUUGAUGUGAUGGCCACAGACAGCAGGAAGCUGUAC